rnacentral:tRNA from 1 species
UAAGAAAUGGUGUAGACGGAUGCACAAGGAGUUUUGAUCUCCUAAGAAUAGGUUCAAACCCUUUUUUUUUA